GUGCCAGCCGCCGCGGUAAUACCGGCAGCCCAAGUGAUGGCCGAUCUUAUUGGGCCUAAAGCGUCCGUAGCUGGCCGCGCAAGUCCAUCGGAAAAUCCACCCGCCCAACGGGUGGGCGUCCGGCGGAAACUGCGUAGCUUGGGACCGGAAGGCUCAGAGAGUACGUCCGGGGUAGGAGUGAAAUCCCGUAAUCCCGGACGGACUACCGAUGGCGAAAGCACUCUGAGAAGACGGCUUCGACAGUGAGGGACGAAAGCUCGGGUCUCCAACCGGAUUAGAAACCCGUGUAGUCC
rnacentral:rRNA from 1 species